UACGGAGGAUGCGAGCGUUAUCCGGAUUUAUUGGGUUUCAAGGGUGCGCAGGCGGCGUGUCAAGUCAGCGGUAAAAUGUCGGGGCUCAACCCCGGCCGGCCGUUGAAACUGGCGUGCUCGAGUUGGAGAGAAGUAUGCGGAAUUCGUGGUGUAGCGGUGAAAUGCAUAGAUAUCACGCAGAACUCCGAUUGCGAAGGCAGCAUACAGGCGCUCAACUGACGCUGAGGCACGAAAGCGUGGGGAUCGAACAGG
rnacentral:rRNA from 1 species